UACGUAGGUGGCAAGCGUUGUCCGGAUUUACUGGGCGUAAAGAGCGCGCAGGCGGUCGUGCAAGUCGCGUGUGAAAGCCCCCGGCUCAACUGGGGAGGGUCACGCGAUACUGCUCGACUUGAAGGCAGGAGAGGGAAGUGGAAUUCCCGGUGUAGUGGUGAAAUGCGUAGAGAUCGGGAGGAACACCUGUGGCGAAGGCGGCCGACUGGGCCGACCCUGACGCUGAGGCGCGAAGGCGUGGGGAGCGAACGGG
rnacentral:rRNA from 1 species